rnacentral:rRNA from 1 species
UGAAUACGAGACGCUAAGGCGUCGAAGUAGUGUAUGUCAUACUUCCAAGAAAAGCUUGCACUGUCAUAGAUAAAAAACGCCUGUACCAUAACCGACACAGGUGGGUAGGUAGAGUAUACUAAGGGGCGCGAGAUAACUCUCUCUAAGGAACUCGGCAAAAUAACUCCGUAACUUCGGGAGAAGGAGUGCCUUAUUAUUAAGGUUGCAAUAACAAGAUCCAAGCAACUGUUUAUCAAAAACACAGGUCUCCGCUAAGUCGUAAGACGAUGUAUGGGGGCUGACGCCUGCCCAGUGCCAGAAGGUUAAAGAAGCUGGUUAGCAUUUGCGAAGCUAGUAACUGAAGCCCUGGUGAACGGCGGCCGUAACAAUAACGGUCCUAAGGUAGCGAAAUUCCUUGUCGGGUAAGUUCCGACCCGCACGAAAGGCGUAAUGAUUUGGAUACUGUCUCGGAGAGGGGCUCGGUGAAAUAGACUUGUCUGUGAAGAUGCGGACUACCUGCACCAGGACAGAAAGACCCUAUGAAGCUUUACUGUAACUUGAAAUUGAAAUUGGACUUUAUUCGCGCAGUAUAGGUGGGAGGCGUUGAUUAUAAUCUUGCGGGAUUAUUGGAGCCAUUAGUGAGAUACCACUCUUGUAAUGUUAGAUUUCUAACUUUGAAUCAUUAUCUGGUCCAAGAACAGUUUCAGGCGGGCAGUUUGACUGGGGCGGUCGCCUCCUAAACGGUAACGGAGGCGUACAAAGGUUUCCUCUGAACGGUUAGAAAUCGUAUCUAGAGUGUAAAGGCAUAAGGAAGCUUGACUGUGAGACCUACAAGUCGAGCAGGGACGAAAGUCGGUCUUAGUGAUCUGACGGUACUGAGUGGAAAGGCCGUCACUCAACGGAUAAAAGUUACUCUAGGAUAACAGGCUGAUCUCCCCCAAGAGUUCACAUCGACGGGGAGGUUUGGCACCUCGAUGUCGGCUCAUCGCAUCCUGGGGCGGUAGUACGUCCCAAGGGUUGGGCUGUUCGCCCAUGAAAGCGGUACGCGAGCUGGGUUCAGAACGUCGUGAGACAGUUCGGUCCAUAUCCGGUGUAGGCGUUAGAAUAUUGAGAGGAGCCUUCUUUAGUACGGGAGGACCGAGAAGGACAUACCUCUGGUGUACCAGUUAUCGUGCCAACGGUAGACGCUGGGUAGCUAUGUAUGGAGUGGAUAACCGCUGAAAGCAUCUAAGUGGGAAGCCCACCUCAAGAUAAGUAUUCUCAUC